GACCACUGGGGGUGGAGGGGUGCAGAAUGGGUGGUGGAGAGGGAGUGGGGUGAUAACGUUGGGGGGGGGAGUUAAAAACGAAUAAAAAUCUCUCAGCUACAGAACCCAAAGACAUUACUUCCCUCCGCAUUCACAGCAUUUCUCAGCAAUCCCCGAUGGUCAUUUCCGUGGGGACACAGCAUUUGCCUCACUUCCCCUCAGGCCCCAUGGGCUGCUGGUCAACCUCAGGAUCUACUAAAGACGAUGCAAACGCCGACUGAACAAUCUGAAACCCAAAGGACUCGAGGAGAGACAUGUUCUGCUGGGGAGAGAAAGCUACUCCACAGACCUACCCAGACCAAAUAAUGACGUCUCGCCCGCUGGCUACAGCAAGUUGUCCCAACUAUAACUGAGUCAUCUGCCUGAUCACUGGGCAUCAGACUGGCUUUAGAGGGUCCCCUAUGAACAUUCCUAAGAGGGAGGAUGUAGUCAAGAAUAAAGAGAUGAGCCAAUGGAAAGGAGGAUCCCAGCCCUGCCUCUUGGAUUGGCACGUGGCCCCUGGCAACCAGCUGAAGAACUGCACAGAGAAAGCAACAUACAUCUUUAAAUAUGUUCCAUAUUGGGUGUCAGCCCACUGAACGCGCACUGCCCCAUUACCUUGCUAGAGCAGCGCUACUCCAGCUACCUCUGCCUAACAGAAGCACAGCCUGAGAUCUCCAGGUAAGACCACGGUGAAAAUUCACCUCCUGACUUUGUGGUCAACGUGAAAAGCAAAUGCAUGGAGUGCUGAGGAAGAACCACUGUUGCUAUCCGUUCCCAAAUGUCUAUGUGCAUCAAGGCAGGCCUUGGGGUCCUCAGUCACUUUUAAGUAAAUAUUACUAAUUUGAAUAGAGCACUUUAUAUUAAUGAAAUACUGCCUUUAUCA